rnacentral:lncRNA from 10 species
CAAGUACUCUGAUGUUGGAGGCCAAGGGGGAGAUAAACGAGCAAGGACGGCUCUCUCAAAUGUUACUGUCUAUAUGAAUCCACCUUGGGAUAUUAGUAAAAUGAGUUUCUGAUACAGAAGAUCUAGAAAGCGCCUGAAAUGCUGAUAUUCUGUCUCCCAGGUGGAGGAGUUCAGCUAUUACCUUGACUUUGCCGAAGUCCUAGGCACUCCCAUGCCCUCAGAGUCUCAUUUUGAAUCCAGGCACUUAGGGAUGCUAUUUUUCCACAUCAAACAGCUUCCUCCCAGCCAAAGAAUUCUGGUGACAGUAGUGAAGAUAAUUUUCACUCCUGCUUACAGAAUGACAAAGCAAAAGCAAAGAGGAGAAGAAUGAAGUAAAGACAACCAAAGGAAAAGACUGAUGGCUCCUUAAGAAUGAUCUUGAUAAAGGAAUGGUGGCUGAGGGGUCCAUCUCCUAAACCACCCACCUUACUGACUCCCUAGAGCAAUGCCAUACAGAAAGCUGCACCUUGAGGGGAAGACACAAGAAUCCUGGAGUGGAAAAAAAUUGGGUAAUGAUGACAGCCUUCGAGGUCUUGAGAGUAAAGCAGAAGCAAAAAAAAAGUGUUAUUUUUAUCUUUUGAAGAUGGUUCCCUCUUAAGACUUUUGCGAAUGAUUAAGAUUUCAAUUAUGUUCCAGGAAAAAAAUAAGAUUUUUGCUUGACAAAAAAAAUUUUUGUCUAGAACAGGUGGGAAGGAAGAGAUAGUUUAGCCACAUCCAAGAGACCUGUAAAUUGGGUACAGUGAAGUGAAUGGUGUACCAGUCAUAAAAGAAUGUUAACUGGAGAAGUCUCUGCUGUCUUCCUGUAACUGAGGGGGGUGUAACCAUCCUUGUGGAAGCGUCCACUUUUAUUGAAGAUUGGCUAAAUAAAUCUGUGCCUACUGAAACUCAAG